GAGAGCCGGAUGCUCGGCCAACGGGCAUGUCCGGUUCGGCGGGCGGGGACGGGAAGACCGACACCCGAAACGGUGUACGGCGUCCCGUCCCCAACCCAAC
rfam:Streptomyces aureofaciens strain ATCC 10762 contig_10, whole genome shotgun sequence.